rnacentral:lncRNA from 1 species
AAAUCGAUAGUGUGUAUUUUGGGGCUGGUGCUUUGGGCUGGAGGGUGCGGCAGAACAGGGAGUUGCAGCUGCUGGCAUGUGUUGGAAACAUCUUGUUCCCAGCAGGGCCAUCACCUUGGGCCUAGGAGCUGCCAGUCUUUCAGAGAAGCUUUCCUUUGCAAAGAGAAAUGAAGUUUAUGAGAAGCCAGAACAAGAAAGCAAUUUCCAUUCUAAUCUGAUAGAUUUUUUUUAAUGUGCUCUGGCUGCACUGAUCAAUAAUAUUAAACAGGCUGAUGGCUUGAGGAUCUUGUUAAAGGAUUGUUCAUAAUCUCCCUUGUCUCCAAACGCACUCUUUAUGUGAAAAAUCCUCCUCAAGACCUUAAGCAAAUUCCAGUUUGCCUUUGCCCUCUAGACAGCUGUGUUAGUGUGAAGUCUUCUGUGGGAAAUUACCCAAACACGGAGGCAGCCCUUCGAAGGCCGGUCCUUCUGUCCCAAUGAUUCGCUAACUGGAGAAAGUAGCGGUGUUGGCCCUGUGCAGUCACUUUGUGCAGGAGCAGGCUGGAAAAGGACCUCCUGAAUAGUGUGUGCGCGUGGAGCUGGCGCUACUUUGCCUGGGGAUGUGCAGUGACCUCCUGGGAAGAUGAGAAUGGAUUCAGUGGAGAUAAGAGCUCCACAGGGACCAUCUGUACCAAUAUGCAGUGAAGGGCAAACUUCUCCACACAGAGAAACCCACAGAGGCAAAGAAGGGGAGAUAAACAGAAACAGUACGAUGGCCUGCCCAUACGAGUGCCAGAGUCAGGACAUACAGC